rnacentral:rRNA from 1 species
GACGUAGGGCGCGAGCGUUGUCCGGAUUUAUUGGGCGUAAAGAGCUCGUAGGCGGCUUGUUGCGUCGACUGUGAAAACCCGCGGCUUAACUGCGGGCUUGCAGUUGAUACGGGCAGGCUAGAGUUCGGUAGGGGAGACUGGAAUUCCUGGUGUAGAGGUGAAAUUCGUAGAUAUCAAGCAGAACACCUGCGGCGAAGGCGGCCUUCUGGACGAUGACUGACGCUGAGACGCGAAAGCGUGGGGAGCAAACAGG